CUAUGCUGAUGACACACAGCUCUAUCUCUCGUUUCAACCAGAUGAUCCAACGGUAGCUGCACGGAUCUCAGGCUGCCUGGCAGACAUCUCGGCAUGGAUGAAAGAAUAUCACUUACAGCUCAACCUGGCAAAGACUGAGCUUCUUGUCUUCCCUGCCACUCCAACUCUACAGUAUGAUUUUUCCAUCCAGCUAGGUUCUUCUACAAUUACCCCAUCAACUUCGGUCAGAAAUCUUGGUGUAACUUUUGAUAACCAGUUGACCUUCAAAGACCACAUUGCAAAGACCGCUCGAUCUUGCAGGUUUGCAUUGCACAACAUCAGAAAGUUCAGGCCCUUUCUAACGGAGCAUGCUGCACAACUUCUUGUCCAGGCCCUUGUCAUCUCUAGGCUGGACUACUGCAAUGCUCUUCUGGCUGGACUCCCAUCAAGCACAAUCAAACCUCUACAAAUGAUUCAGAAUGCAGCGGCACGACUGGUCUUCAACGAGCCCAAAAGAGCCCAUGUUACACCUCUCUUUAUCUCCUUGCACUGGCUACCGGUUGCGGCCCGAAUCAAGUUCAAGACAUUGAUGCUUGCAUAUAGAACAGCCACAGGCUCAGCACCCGCCUACUUCCACUCACUACUACGAAUUUACAUCCCCUUCAGAAGUCUGAGAUCCGCUAGUGAGCGACGCCUCGUGGUACCAUCACAGAGAGGCUCAAAAUCACUUUCCAGAACAUUCUCGUUCACCACUCCUGGCUGGUGGAACGAUCUUCCCACCCCUAUCCGGAAUGCUGAAUCCCUGACAAUUUUCAAGCGACAGCUGAAAACUCAUCUCUUUCGAAGCUACUUGACUUCAUCAAAAAAAAAUUUAAAAAAAUAAAUCUCUCUCUUUAUUUAUUCCUUCUCUUUCUAGCUUGUACUUAUUUGAACAAUGUCUAAGAACUUGGUAUUACAACCAUUUCUUGUGUCUGUUUGCCUCUUUAAGAAGAAUCGCUUUAUGUAUCCCCCAAUUGUAAGUCGCUUUGGAUAAAAGCGUCUGCUAAAUUACUAAAUGUAAAUGUAAAAAGGCUGCAUUACC
rnacentral:lncRNA from 1 species